UUAUAAUAAAAUUAUCAUUUUAUUAUAUACUAUACUUUGUUGUGUCUGGCUUCUUUCACUCUGCAUAACCCAUGUUGCUCAUGUAUCAAUUCAUUCUUUCUCAUGGCUAAGUAGUAUUUCAUUCUGUGGAUAUAUUACAGUUUAUCCAUUCAUCAGUUGAUGGACAUCAAAGUUUCCAGUUUUUGGCUAUUGGGAAUAAAGCUGCUCUGAACAUUCUUGUGUAAGUCUUUGUGUGAACAUGUUUUCUUUUUUCUUAUGUGAAUAUCUAGGCAUUGGGUUGCUAGGUCACAUGGUAAAUGUGUUAUUUUAGUUUAUAAGAAACCACCAGCUGUUUUCUAAAGUGGCUGUCCCAUUUUGCAUGCCCACCUGCAGUGGAUGAGAGUUCCAGUUGCUCCCCAUCCUUGUCAGCACUUGCUACUGUCAAUCUUUUAAUGUUAGCCGUUCCAGGAGACCCUAAUGCACAUGCGAUUACAUUUUUCAGCUUUUGCUGCCUUUUGGGCAAAGCUG
rnacentral:lncRNA from 1 species